UACGUAGGUGGCAAGCGUUGUCCGGAUUUACUGGGCGUAAAGGGCGCGUAGGCGGCCUUCUAAGUCGAACGUGAAAUCCCCGGGCUCAACCCGGGAACUGCGUCCGAUACUGGAAGGCUUGAAUCCGGGAGAGGGAUGCGGAAUUCCAGGUGUAGCGGUGAAAUGCGUAGAUAUCUGGAGGAACACCGGUGGCGAAGGCGGCAUCCUGGACCGGUAUUGACGCUGAGGCGCGAAAGCUAGGGGAGCGAACAGG
rnacentral:rRNA from 1 species